ensembl:misc_RNA Metazoa_SRP Metazoan signal recognition particle RNA
GCCAGGAGCUGUAGCAUGCACCUGUAAUCCCAGUUACUUGAGAGGCUGAGGCGGGAGGAUCACUGGAGACCGGGAGUUCAAGGCUGCAGUGAGCAAUGAUUGUGCCUGUGAAUAGCCACUGCACCCCAGUCUGGGCAACACAGUGAGAUCCUGUCUCAA